AACGAACGCUGGCGGCAUGCCUAACACAUGCAAGUCGAACGCGACCUUCGGGUCUAGUGGCGCACGGGUGCGUAACGCGUGGGAACCUGCCCUUAGGUUCGGAAUAACUCCCCUAAAGGGGUGCUAAUACCGGAUAAUGUCUUCGGACCAAAGAUUUACCGCCUUUGGAUGGGCCCGCGUUGGAUUAGCUAGUUGGUAGGGUAAAAGCCUACCAAGGCGACGAUCCAUAGCUGGUCUGAGAGGAUGAUCAGCCACACUGGGACUGAGACACGGCCCAGACUCCUACGGGAGGCAGCAGUGGGGAAUAUUGGACAAUGGGCGAAAGGCUGAUCCAGCAAUGCCGCGUGAGUGAUGAAGGCCUGAGGGUUGUAAAGCUCUUUUACCCGGGAUGAUAAUGACAGUACCGGGAGAAUAAGCUCCGGCUAACUCCGUG
rnacentral:rRNA from 1 species